GCUGCCCCAAGCUGCCGGGGCCGGCCGCGGCGCCUCUAGCGCCGGGAGCCUGAGCGGGCAGGGCGGCGGCGCUGGGCGGCGGGACGGGACACCACAGGACAGGACGACACGAUACGACACGAUACGACACGACACGACACGGGACGAUACGGGCGGUCCCCCGGGGCCAGAAUGGUUUCCUGGGGAAAACAGCACUGCUGUGUUGGCAGAAUACAGCACGUUUUAUUGAGAUUCAGGAUUGCUCUAGCAGUCCUUUUACUUCAUUUGUUCCUGGCUACAGCAGGCAAAGAUCACGAGGAUUUCCUAGGACGAUACAAAGCAGUAUUUAAGACCGAAUGUGAAGAUCCUUGGAUUAUGUCACCAAGAAUUUCUCUGCUUUCCUUGAGAGAAUUCACUGUUUGUGUGAGCCUCAAGCUAAAUUCCUCGAGGAGUCCCUGGACAGCAUAUGUGUACAAUCAAGAAACACCUACCAGCAAUCUCUCUGCAAAUAAGUAUGAUCUUGGACUUACCGGAGAUCGUGGUAAAUUGGGGAUAUGGUUGUUUGGAAAUCAAAUAAAUAUGACAGCAGUGCUUCAUGAAAAUACCUGGCAUCAAAUAUGUAUCCAGUGGAAAAGUGAAGACAAGGAGGUAAAGUUAUUCAUAAAUGGAACAAAAAAAGGAAACAAGAAGCUACCUGAAAAAAUGGAUCUCCCUGGAAAAGGGCAGUUUUUACUCGGCUGUGCAAGGCUGCCAGGUACAGCGACGUCACCUAACCUGGGUAUGGCUGGGGAGCUGUACAUGUUCAGAAUGUGGGAUAAAGCAAAUAUAAAACUUGCCAAGGACUGCAGAGAUGGUAGUGUUGUGCGCUGGAGAAAGGAGGAUUGGGUCUAUAAUACGACAAUAGAAGAGGAUAACUCUUUGCCAUGUGAUACAGGAAGAAACCACCAGACCAGCAGUUCUACAUUCAGGAGAAUCAGCUGCAACAACCAGUUCUGAUACAGUCACUCUCUGGGAAUGGUUCAUCUUUAACAACUGCAGACAAUUCAAUAUUUGUUGUACCAAGUGAAAUAAUGCAGAUGAAGUCAGCAUUUAGCUUUCACUCUGAUUUCUCAUAUUUUGGCGGCUUUUAAGUUGCUGUAGAAAAUCAUUUGUCUUCAGGACUAUUAGUUAGAAACAGAAUAUGCUUAGCUUUCUUCUGGGUAUGGAAUUAAGAAGGCAGUUCUGAAAAGGCUCUAAAUGGGUAAUUUGAUGGAAAUAUAUAAAAAGAAAAGCUCCCUUUCCCUUAACAAGUAGAUUGCUUUUUCUCUUGAUGUGCAGCUAUCUCUAUGCAAAGUAGACAACUUGUUUUUUUAAUUAUAUUUAAGAUACUAUUUUUAGCGAUGGCAGUGAUGCUUUCAGCAGUGAAAUUUUGAAAGCAUAAUGUUUGGCUGUUACGAAGCUGCUCUGACCUGUUUUUAAAAAGUCACUAAGUUGUUAUAUUGGAGUGAUGCAAAGUGGUCCUCAAACUGCUUCACAUUGCUGCGCUGACACUUAAAAUGUGCUUACUCUGCAUUUAUUUUCUGAGCAACCUUUAAACUUCCCUUCCCUUCCCUUCCCUUCCCUUCCCUUCCCUUCCCUUCCCUUCCCUUCCCUUCCCUUCCCUUCCCUUCCCUU
rnacentral:lncRNA from 1 species